GAUUCUUUAGUAUAAAAUAGUAUAAUUGAUUUCCAAUCAGUUGGUUUUAAGAGUUA
rnacentral:tRNA from 1 species